GCCUCAGGCGAGAUAAUGCAGAGGUGGGGGACAGAGUGGGUGGGGAGGGGAGCCGCCAUACAGUGGCCAGGACCAGCUUUGCCCAAGUGGUGGCAACCGCAUGACCACAGGAACGAUGGCGUGAGCCCCGUGGCAACCUGGAGGAAGGGCCAAGCCACUGGUGAAUAUGCUGCAAAAAAUAUGCUGGAACUUCUAUGAAUACCACAGGGUGUGAGAAGAAAACAUUAGAACUUCUAUUUUGUACCUGUGUUACUCCACAACAAGAAAGCAAUCAGCUUGAUCAAUGCCUACUGUAAAGACGGCACCGCCCUCCGGAGGUCCUUUCUCAGCCCUGGUGUUCGGACAGCCACAUCCCCUCGCAGCAGGGGGAGGCCUGAAGCAUAGAGGGGCCCAUGCAGGUCUAUUCUGUUUCAGCGAAUUGCCUGGGAAAUAAUCCAGGAUCCAUUUCGUGUGGUCAUCUUGUCUCCCUGGUCCCCUCCAGCCUUUCCUCAUCUUUUGUGACCUGGUCACUCUGGAAGGGCGCUGGCCAGUUAGUCCACAGGAUGGGCCUCCCCUGGGGCUUUUCUGAUGCUUCCUUAUGAUGGCACUGGCAUCCUGAGGGGGAGGACCACAGAGAGGAGGUGCUCCUCAUCACACCACAUGGGGGUCCAUGCACCAGUGCCACUGCUUUCCAGGGCUCUUCACCUUCAUCACUGGUGGAGGUGGCGUCUGCCAAGAAGCAGAAAGUUGAGGCUUAGAAGGUGCACGGCCCUACCUCUUCCGAGGUGCCCCUGCGGGCUGUCUACAGACCAGGCAGCACAUGCCUGAUAGCAGCUGCAUAAGGAAAAGCAGGAGCCAGCUCGUGCACAGUGGCCUCAAGUGUGCACUGGGCAUGUUCUCUGCCUCACCAUCCCUGUGUGACAGAUGAAGCAUGGCAAGCCAGGCUCCAGAGAAGCAUCCUGAGGACCAGUGUUCCUAGGGACCUCAUUCUUCUGACCUCAUUCCUACAACGUUUUGUCACUGCAAAGGAAAUCACCAAGGCCAGCAUGACAGCCCUCAACAGAAGCCAAGGCCAAGUCCUCGAACUUCCUAGUCUGCACAAUGACAAGUGAGCUCAUGGAAACCUCUCCAUCGUUGACCAGGAUCUAUAGGAAAACCCUCCUCUUCUUCUAUAUGCAAAGGCUGCACAGCUCCUGGUUCACCUGCACCUCUCCAGACCACCAUGGUGCCUGCAGCUCUGAGGGCAUUUUAAAUCAUCACAGAACAACAAGCAUAUAAGCAUCAUGAGCGCCUCUGGACCUCUGACGUGCCUUGUGGAGGCCUGCCAGGCCCACGUUUUAAUUUACAUGAACUCGAUGCCCUUUUUGACAGGGAGAGAUCUGUUUCUUUAUUUGUUAGCCUUUCCCCUGGACCUGCUAGAUCUGGACCAUCCCCAGGAAAGGAAGGUCACACCACAAAGAUAAAUAUAAACAAAAUGAGUUAAUUAAGAA
rnacentral:lncRNA from 1 species